rnacentral:rRNA from 1 species
UGCAAGUCGAACGCUUCUUUUUCCACCGGAGCUUGCUCCACCGGAAAAAGAGGAGUGGCGAACGGGUGAGUAACACGUGGGUAACCUGCCCAUCAGAAGGGGAUAACACUUGGAAACAGGUGCUAAUACCGUAUAACAAUCAAAACCGCAUGGUUUUGAUUUGAAAGGCGCUUUCGGGUGUCGCUGAUGGAUGGACCCGCGGUGCAUUAGCUAGUUGGUGAGGUAACGGCUCACCAAGGCCACGAUGCAUAGCCGACCUGAGAGGGUGAUCGGCCACAUUGGGACUGAGACACGGCCCAAACUCCUACGGGAGGCAGCAGUAGGGAAUCUUCGGCAAUGGACGAAAGUCUGACCGAGCAACGCCGCGUGAGUGAAGAAGGUUUUCGGAUCGUAAAACUCUGUUGUUAGAGAAGAACAAGGAUGAGAGUAACUGUUCAUCCCUUGACGGUAUCUAACCAGAAAGCCACGGCUAACUACGUGCCAGCAGCCGCGGUAAUACGUAGGUGGCAAGCGUUGUCCGGAUUUAUUGGGCGUAAAGCGAGCGCAGGCGGUUUCUUAAGUCUGAUGUGAAAGCCCCCGGCUCAACCGGGGAGGGUCAUUGGAAACUGGGAGACUUGAGUGCAGAAGAGGAGAGUGGAAUUCCAUGUGUAGCGGUGAAAUGCGUAGAUAUAUGGAGGAACACCAGUGGCGAAGGCGGCUCUCUGGUCUGUAACUGACGCUGAGGCUCGAAAGCGUGGGGAGCAAACAGGAUUAGAUACCCUGGUAGUCCACGCCGUAAACGAUGAGUGCUAAGUGUUGGAGGGUUUCCGCCCUUCAGUGCUGCAGCUAACGCAUUAAGCACUCCGCCUGGGGAGUACGACCGCAAGGUUGAAACUCAAAGGAAUUGACGGGGGCCCGCACAAGCGGUGGAGCAUGUGGUUUAAUUCGAAGCAACGCGAAGAACCUUACCAGGUCUUGACAUCCUUUGACCACUCUAGAGAUAGAGCUUCCCCUUCGGGGGCAAAGUGACAGGUGGUGCAUGGUUGUCGUCAGCUCGUGUCGUGAGAUGUUGGGUUAAGUCCCGCAACGAGCGCAACCCUUAAUUGUUAGUUGCCAUCAUUCAGUUGGGCACUCUAGCAAGACUGCCGGUGACAAACCGGAGGAAA